AGUGAACGCUGGCGGUAGGCCUAACACAUGCAAGUCGAACGGCAGCACAGGAGAGCUUGCUCUCUGGGUGGCGAGUGGCGGACGGGUGAGGAAUACAUCGGAAUCUACUCUGUCGUGGGGGAUAACGUAGGGAAACUUACGCUAAUACCGCAUACGACCUACGGGUGAAAGCAGGGGAUCUUCGGACCUUGCGCGAUUGAAUGAGCCGAUGUCGGAUUAGCUAGUUGGCGGGGUAAAGGCCCACCAAGGCGACGCUCCGUAGCUGGUCUGAGAGGAUGAUCAGCCACACUGGAACUGAGACACGGGCCAGACUCCUACGGGAGGCAGCAGUGGGGAAUAUUGGACAAUGGGCGCAAGCCUGAUCCAGCCAUACCGCGUGGGUGAAGAAGGCCUUCGGGUUGUAAAGCCCUUUUGUUGGGAAAGAAAUCCAGCUGGCUAAUACCCGGUUGGGAUGACGGUACCCAAAGGAUAAGCACCGGCUAACUUCGUGCCAGCAGCCGCAGUAA
rnacentral:rRNA from 1 species